AUUGAACGCUGGCGGCGUGCCUAACACAUGCAAGUCGAGCGGUAACAGGUGUAGCAAUACAUGCUGACGAGCGGCGAACGGGUGAGUAAUGCUUCGGAAUCUACCCAAUGGUGGGGAAUAACCAGCCGAAAGGUUGGCUAAUACCGCAUACGUCCCACGGGAGAAAGCAGGGGAUCGCAAGACCUUGCGCCAAUGGAUGAGCCGAAGUCGGAUUAGCUAGUUGGAGGGUAACGGCCUACCAAGGCGACGAUCCGUAGCUGGUCUGAGAGGACGGACCAGCCACACUGGGACUGAGACACGGCCCAGACUCCUACGGGAGGCAGCAGUGGGGAAUAUUGGACAAUGGGGGAAACCCGUCGAUCCAGCGACGCCGCGUGUGUGAA
rnacentral:rRNA from 1 species